UACGUAGGGGGCAAGCGUUAUCCGGGUUUACUGGGUGUAAAGGGAGCGCAGACGGCAGUGCAAGUCUGGAGUGAAAGCCCGGGGCCCAACCCCGGAACUGCUCUGGAAACUGUGCGGCUAGAGUACUGGAGGGGCAGGCGGAAUUCCUAGUGUAGCGGUGAAAUGCGUAGAUAUUAGGAGGAACACCAGUGGCGAAGGCGGCCUGCUGGACAGUAACUGACGUUGAGGCUCGAAAGCGUGGGGAGCAAACAGG
rnacentral:rRNA from 1 species